rnacentral:rRNA from 1 species
UACGUAGGCAGCAAGCGUUGUUCGGAAUUACUGGGCGUAAAGAGUGUGUAGGCGGUGCUCCAAGUCUGUUGUGAAAUCUCCCGGCUUAACUGGGAGGGUGCGGCGGAAACUGGAGUGCUUGAGUGUGGGAGAGGUAAGCGGAAUUCCUGGUGUAGCGGUGAAAUGCGUAGAUAUCGAGAGGAACACCAGUGGCGAAGGCGAGUCCCUGGACACUUCCUGACACUGAGGCACGAAAGCUAGGGGAGCAAACAGG